rnacentral:tRNA from 3 species
UGUAGCAAAAUAGUGCAAUAAACUUAAGACUUAUAAAUAAAGUUAAUCUUUCUUUAGAU